AAGAACGUUAUUAGUAGGAAAUGGCUAAUAAGUGACGGUACCUUACCAGAAAGGGACGGCUAACUACGUGCCAGCAGCCGCGGUAAUACGUAGGUCCCGAGCGUUAUCCGGAAUUAUUGGGCGUAAAGGGCACGUAGGCGGACAAAUAAGUUUGAUGUCAAAUAUGAUGGCUCAACCAUCAAGAGGCGUUGAAAACUGUUUAUCUAGAAUCUCGGAGAGGUAAGUGGAAUUCCAUGUGUAGCGGUGGAAUGCGUAGAUAUAUGGAGGAACACCAAUGGCGAAGGCAGCUUACUGGACGAAGAUUGACGCUGAGGUGCGAAAGCGUGGGUAGCAAACAGGAUUAGAUACCCUGGUAG
rnacentral:rRNA from 1 species